AUUGAACGCUGGCGGCAGGCUUAACACAUGCAAGUCGAGCGGGGGAAGGUAGCUUGCUACCUAACCUAGCGGCGGACGGGUGAGUAAUGCUUAGGAAUCUGCCUAUUAGUGGGGGACAACAUUUCGAAAGGGAUGCUAAUACCGCAUACGCCCUAAGGGGGAAAGCAGGGGAUCUUCGGACCUUGCGCUAAUAGAUGAGCCUAAGUCGGAUUAGCUAGUUGGUGGGGUAAAGGCCUACCAAGGCGACGAUCUGUAGCGGGUCUGAGAGGAUGAUCCGCCACACUGGGACUGGGACACGGCCCAGACUCCUACGGGAGGCAGCAGUGGGGAAUAUUGGACAAUGGGGGGAACCCUGAUCCAGCCAUGCCGCGUGUGUGAAGAAGGCCUUUUGGUUGUAAAGCACUUUAAGCCAGGAGGAGGCUACCGAGAUUAAUACUCUUGGAUAGUGGACGUUACUCGCAGAAUAAGCACCGGCUAACUCUGUGCCAGCCGCCGCUGUAACAC
rnacentral:rRNA from 1 species